ensembl:lncRNA
AUGGGAGUUUCCCUGUACAAGCUCUCUUGCCUGCUGCCAUGUAAGAUGUCCCUUUGUUCUUCCUUUGUCUUUCACCAUGAUUGUGAGACCUCUCCAGCCGUGUGGAACUGUGAAUCAAUUAAACCUCUUACCUUUAUAAAUUACCCAGUCUCAGGUAUGUCUUUAUUUAUUUAUUUAUUUAAAUAUAUAUUUUAUUGUUUUAGGUUUUGGGGUACAUCUGAAGAACAUGCAAGAUUGUUGCAUAGUUUUCCUUCUAGGCCCCUCUGCUGUAGGACUGCUGGAGGUCCACUCCAGACCCUGCUUGCCUGGGGCUCACCUGCAGUGGCUGAAGAACAGUGACAGUUGCUGCCAGUUUCUUCUUCUGCUAUGUUUGUCCCAGAAGGAUACCUGCCAGAUGUCAGUCUGAGCUCUCCUUUAUGAGGUGAUUAUUUGGAUAUAUGGGGGUCGGGGAACUGCUUGAGGAGACAUUCUGUCCUUUAUAGGAGCUCAAGUGCUGAGGUGUGAGCCUUGUUUUUCCAUUCAGAGCUGCUGGGCAGGUACGUUUAAGUCUGCUGCAGUGGAACUCAUAACAGCCUUCUUUUUUCCUAGGUGCUGUGUUCCCAGAAGGUAGGGCUUUAAGUUUCUGUCAUGCUGCUGCCUUUUUUCAGGGAUGCCCUCCCCAGCGAGGAGGUAGCCUAGUCACAGUCUGCCAGAAGAGGUGUUGCUGAGCUGCUGUGGGCUCCGCCCAGCUGCUGUGUGAACUUCCCUGCAGUCCUGUUUAUAGGGGUAUAGUUAGUACUGCCUUGGCAAUGUCAGCUCACCUCUGUAACAGUGGACUCUCUCUGUAAUGGCAGACUGCCUUGGUAAUGGUGGACUGCCUCAGCAAUGGCAAGCUACUUUGGCUAUGGCAGACUGCCUCAGCAAUGGUGGGCCGCCUGGGUAGUGGUGAACUGCCUCAGUAAUGGCAGAUGCCCUUCCCCCACAGAGCUGGAUCCUCCCAGAUUCAGCUGUGCUUGCUGUGAAACUCUCAAUCCAGAGCCUUUCAGAUUGUUGGUCUUUGUGGAGGUGGGACCGGCUAUGCUUGAUCACCUGGCUCCCUGCCUCAGACCCCUUUUUCUUCAGUUGAAUGGGUGACUGUGUCUCCCCAGUGUUCCAGUCACCAGUUGAAAAGGUGCCCUGACUUGUGUGAGUUCUUGUGUGGAAAUCCGGCUGAAAGAGCCACGCUGGGGGCUUGGGUUCUUUUUCGCUUGUGAAUCUCCUGGCCUGGCUCCCUGUUUCAGUCCCCUUUUUAUCUAUUGAAUGGGAGACUGUUCCCCAGGUGUUUCAGUCACCAGCUGAAACCACACCCAGACCCCUGUGAGUUUUUUGAGGCAGAAAGCUGCCAUGCGGGCCGAAACAACCACACUGGAGACUCGUGGAGCUUUUUCACCCGGGAAUUUCCUGGCCUAGCUCCCUAUUUGUGUCCUCUUUUUAUCUGUUGAAUAGGAGACUGUUUCCCAGGUGUUUCAGUCACCAGCUGAAACCGCGCCCAGACCCCUGUGAGUUUUUUGAGGUGGAGAGCCACCACACUGGCCAAAACAGCCGUGCUGGAAACCCAUGGGGCUCCUCCACCCGGGAAUCUCCUGGUCUGUCGGCAAUAAAAGUCUGUCUGGAAAUGCUGCAAUCACUCACCCUCUGUGCACUAACUGGGAGCUGCAAUCCAGAGCUGCUCCUACUCAGCCACCUUGGAUCCCCCACCAGCUAUGUCUUUAAUAGCAGGGUGAGAAUGGACAAAUACACCCCUUCUUAGGAUGUCAACAUUGGCCUACUGCCUAUAUAGGCCAUAGUUUGGUCCUAUGAUCUGGUAUAUAAGAUAUGAAAGUGUGGAUGUCCUAGAUUCUUGUGAUACAGGGCCUAGCAAGCUGAAAACAAGAAAAUGAAAUCAGAUAUGGAUUUUCAGUAUGGCUGAGUGGCAGGUGAUGACAAUGUCUGCCAUUGUCGGUGUCUAAACUGACAGGAGUAGAGUCUAUCCUUCUAUCAGACUCUUUACCUGAUCCAAGAUGCCCACACCUGAAGCCAUGGAUGCUGCAUGAGAAGGCACAAUAACACCUGUGCUUAGGUUCAGGGAACUCUUCCAAUGUUCCCUUUCCUCUCAUGAGCUGACUCUGGGUACCAGACUGCUGAGUUUCACCUUUUGGUUCCCAAACCUUAUUUUGCCUUCAAAAUUGUGUCCAGAAGGUGGGGGCUAGGAUGCUCCCUUAAGGAGUCUCAACCCCAAAUGGAAUUAGCAACCAUGGAGGUUUGGAGUUCUGAAUUAACUCCUGGUGAACUUAUCAGCUAGAUCUGUUGAAGCAUGAACUGGGAUAAAGAGUUAUACGUUAGAUAACACAGCCUUGGCUGGGCACAGUGACUCACACCUAUAAUCCUAGCACUUUGAAAGACGGAGGUGGGCAGGUCACUUAAGGUCAGGAGUUCAAAACCAGUGUGGCCAACAUGGUGAAACUCCAUCUCUACUAAAAAAAAAAAAAAAAAGUCAGGCAUGAUGAUGGGUGCCUGUAAUUCCAGCUACUUGGGAGGCUGAGGCAGGAGAAUUGCUUGAACCUAGGAGGUGGAGGUUGCAGUGAGCUGAGAUAGCCCCACUGCACUCCAGCCUGGGCAACAGAGUGAGACUCUGUCUCAAAAAAACAAACCAAAACAAAAACACAGUCUGGAGAAAUUAAGCACAAAAACCAAAUUCAAAAGGACUAGCAAACAGAGUCCAGACUCACAAAUUUGAUUCUGCGGAUACAAUAUCACAGAACACACCAGGAACAAUAAUAGCUGUGGUCAACAUUUACCAAGAACUUACCAGGUGCCAGAUGUUGUGCUAAACUGCCCUACAUGUCUCAUUUAGUUUUCACAGGAAAUUGUCUUGGUCAAUUCCUGCUGCUAUUAACAAAAUACCAGACUGGUAAAUCUGUAAACAAUAGAAAUUUAUCUCUCCCAGUUCUGGAGGCUGAGAAGUCCAAGUUCAGGGUCAGUGUCUGGUGAAGACUGCUCCCUGCUUCCAAAAUGGCACCUUGCUGCUGCAUCCACUGGAGGGGAUGUGAAUGCUGUGUCCUCACAGAGUGGAAGAGAUGGAAGGGAAAAAAUUACAGAAGGGGAAAACAGCUCCUUUGCAUCUCUUUUGUAAGAACACUAAUCUCAUUCAUAAGCUCUGCCCCUUUACUCUGUACCUCCUAAUGGCCCCACCACUUAAUGCUAUCACAUUGGUGAUUAAGUUUCACCAUAUGAGUUUUGGAGGGUACGCAAACAUUCAAUCAUAGCAGAUGUUAGGAGGUAGAUUGUAUUGUCAUCCCUACCUUAUGGAUGAGGAAACUAAGGUUUGGAGAGUUUAAGUAAUUGGCUUAAACACAAUGACACAGCAGUAAGUAGAGCCAGAUUUAAACCAAUGCAUUCUCACCCAGAGCCUAACUCUCCAUUCAUUAUACUCUUCUCUGAGCUGUGGCUGGGAAUGCUGUUGGUAUUUGGGGGAUCAUCUUUGUAAGGGUUAUUGCCUAGUUUAAAAUGAGGAAACUGAGGCCAGUAUAAGAAAAUUAAAUGCCAAUUUAUUCAGCUCCCGGGCGAGGUUCUAUGGUCUGGGCAAAGGGGGCCAGAGAAGUCGCACUGACUUCCUGGGGCAGGGGGUUUUUAUGGCUAUGAGGAACGAGCAAUAACUGGGUGCUCUGAUUGGCUCCAGGGGAGCAGGAUUGCGAUGGGGCGGGCCGCCAUUGGUUGGGGGGUUGUUGGGCGGGUUUUCCAGUGUGAGAGCCGGCCAGGGUUGCAUCAGCCAGAGCUUUCCAGGUGAGCCAUGCGGCAGAGCUAGGUGCUGAGUGCAGAGCCUGGUGCCAGGUGCAGAGUCAGAUGCUGAGUGCAGAGGUGGGUGUGUCCAGCCUCCCAGGGAGGCAACCGGCCUUACAAUCUUCAUGAACUAGCAGCUUUGAUGCAGCUUUUGUCUGAGGCUCCAGAUGUCUGGGAGGCUUCAUGGCAUCCAUUCGAUUUCCAUUGCCUUGACUAAUGGCUGCAAAUAGAAACUCAAAGAAAAGCCAUUUCUUUGGGACUUACUCUGUGAAAACGUAUCUG